UGCGGAGGGGGCGAGUGUUGUUCGGAAUUACUGGGCGUAAAGGGCGCGCAGGCGGCUUGGCAAGUCGAGUGUGAAAUCCCUCGGCUCAACUGAGGAACUGCACGGGAAACUGCCUGGCUUGAGUUCGGGAGAGGGAAGCGGAAUUCCGGGUGUAGCGGUGAAAUGCAUAGAUAUCCGGAGGAACACCGGUGGCGAAGGCGGCUUCCUGGACCGACACUGACGCUGAGGCGCGAAAGCUAGGGGAGCAAACAGG
rnacentral:rRNA from 1 species